GCCAUUCGCAGUUAGUUGAGUAGCGUGGAUGGAGAAUAACGUGUGGCUGGAGAAAAAUAUGUUAAAAUGGAUAAGAUAAUAAAAGAUAAGGAUGCUCUAAUUAUGAACCUGCAGGCUCAAUUAUUGUUCGUAAUCAGUCCAUGCAGCGAUGGAACUGAACAAUUGUGGGACUGUAUUUGGGCCAAAAAUGGGUGUGGUACGGAAACCCAGAAAUGGCACGAGUUCAACCUAAAACAUGGAUUAGAAUUUUAGCGGGGAGAUCAAGUCAAGUCUGGAAGUGUUACAGGAUGGAAGAGUCAGCCUGUAGCUGAAAAAACACAGAGUGCAUUACCGUUAAGGUGUGAG